UCGCUCUGAUUGGUCAGGGGAGACGUCAAUCUACAAACGACCGUCAUUUAAAAAAAUCGGGGGAAAAAAAACAUGCUUUUACCGACGGAAAAGAUCAGUCAUUAAGUCUUACCUCCAGUUACGCUCGCUGUUUUCCCUCGGACCCUCCGGAAGUGAAAUCUGCUCCAAACUUUACCUGGAAUCCUCCAUUUUGUAGCAAGAAAGCUAACAAACAGCAGCAGACCCGCUAACAGCCGCAGAAGGAGCCGGUUGGAGGGAAAGAGAGGAGAAGUGAGGGAAGAUCAGCGGAUACAAAUCGCUCCUUCGUCUGAUUUGGACUUUUGGCAACGAUAAUCAAAACCUGGAAUACUUUUAUGAAGAAACGCUUUUGUUUUUUCGUGAUCCGUGGACCCUUACUGGACUAAAGGAAUAUAAAUAAUGGAGGAAUGGAGCGGGAGUAGUAGUUCUACACGUCUAAAAGAAAAACUGACAACACUCCCCCUGCUCUCCCAGAAAAGUCAGACCACCCUCUUUUCAGCAAGGUCAGACAAGGGAGCCCCGAUGUCCACUUCAGGGCCACUUUAUUGUCAUUAAGCGAGCUGCCCGCCGCUAUCACCCCCUUACCCUUCCUCCAUGGCAACACAGACAGACAAACAGGAUGCAGCUGUUGCCAGGGAAACAGCCAGAAGGUCUGCAGUGCUACAGCGUGGCGGAGAGUGUGAGUGAGGGGGACCACGCGGGUGUCAGACCACCGCAGUGAUGAUGGCAGACCACCAGAGAAGGAGGGCUACAACGUGAAGAAAAAAGAAAAAAGAGAUGAGGGGAAGAGCAUAAAGGUUAGAGAGGGAGAAGUGCUUUGGUGUUAACUGAAAAUGCAGCCAUGCAGAGAAUGGUUUAGGAGUGAGCAUAUGAAAUCUAGAUAGAGGCGCAGGGACAGACCCGCUGAACAAUGCAGCUCUCUGAUGACGAGACAGUGAGGAUUUGAGUUCUCUGUGCCCCCUCCUGACAGACAGUGAGAGCUGAAAUUCACCAUAUACACACAUAGAGAUGAAGGCAAUAAUAAUAAUGAUAAUAAUAAUAAUGAUGAUAAUAACUUUAUUUAUAUAGCACCUUACACCUUGGUGCUUUAUAAUAAAAACAAAUGCAAAUGAUAAAAUCCAAACUAAAAUAUACAAUAAAAACAAAGUCAAUAGAAGGAUGAAAGUGAGUCUUAAAAGAUUUAAAUGAAGAGGCAGAGUUCACCUGCCUGACAUCUGCCGGUCCGGUCACCUUUGGUAACAAGGGGUGGUUAUUUGGGGCAGUGAGGUGGGGUCCUGCUGGACGACCUCAGGCGGCGGUCAGGCUCAUGGGGAGUAAGCAGGUC